rnacentral:rRNA from 1 species
GACGAACGCUGGCGGCGUGCUUAACACAUGCAAGUCGAACGGAAAGGCCCUGCUUUUGUGGGGUGCUCGAUUGGCGAACGGGUGAGUAACACGUGAGUAACCUGCCCUUGACUUUGGGAUAACUUCAGGAAACUGGGGCUAAUACCGGAUAGGAGCUCCUGCUGCGUGGUGGUGGUUGGAAAGUUUCGGCGGUUGGGGAUGGACUCGAGGGUUAUCAGCUUGUUGGUGGGGUAGUGGCUUACCAAGCCUUUCACGGGUAGCCGGCCUUAGCGGGUGACCGGCGACAUGGGGACUGAGAUACGGACCAGAAGCCUACGGGCGGCAGCAGUGGGGAAUAUUGCACAAUGGGGGGACGCCUGAUGUAGAAACGUCGCGUGCGGGAUGACGGGCUUCGGGUUGUAAACCGCUUUCGACUGUGACGAAGCGUGAGUGACAGUAAUGGGUAAAGAAGCACCGGCUAACUACGUG